UGGGGAAUUUUGGACAAUGGGCGAAAGCCUGAUCCAGCAAUGCCGCGUGUGUGAAGAAGGCCUUCGGGUUGUAAAGCACUUUUGUCCGGAAAGAAAUCCUUGGCUCUAAUACAGUCGGGGGAUGACGGUACCGGAAGAAUAAGCACCGGCUAACUACGUGCCAGCAGCCGCGGUAAUACGUAGGGUGCAAGCGUUAAUCGGAAUUACUGGGCGUAAAGCGUGCGCAGGCGGUUUGCUAAGACCGAUGUGAAAUCCCCGGGCUCAACCUGGGAACUGCAUUGGUGACUGGCAGGCUAGAGUAUGGCAGAGGGGGGUAGAGUUCCACGUGUAGCAGUGAAAUGCGUAGAGAUGUGGAGGAAUACCGAUGGCGAAGGCAGCCCCCUGGGCCAAUACUGACGCUCAUGCACGAAAGCGUGGGGAGCAAACAGGAUUAGAUACCCUGGUAGUCCACGCCCUAAACGAUGUCAACUAGUUGUUGGGGAUUCAUUUCCUUAGUAACGUAGCUAACGCGUGAAGUUGACCGCCU
rnacentral:rRNA from 1 species